rnacentral:rRNA from 1 species
GACGAACGCUGGCGGCGUGCCUAAUACAUGCAAGUAGAACGCUGAAGAGAGGAGCUUGCUCUUCUUGGAUGAGUUGCGAACGGGUGAGUAACGCGUAGGUAACCUGCCUGGUAGCGGGGGAUAACUAUUGGAAACGAUAGCUAAUACCGCAUAAAAUUGAUUAUUGCAUGAUAAUUAAUUGAAAGAUGCAAUUGCAUCACUACCAGAUGGACCUGCGUUGUAUUAGCUAGUUGGUGAGGUAACGGCUCACCAAGGCGACGAUACAUAGCCGACCUGAGAGGGUGAUCGGCCACACUGGGACUGAGACACGGCCCAGACUCCUACGGGAGGCAGCAGUAGGGAAUCUUCGGCAAUGGGGGGAACCCUGACCGAGCAACGCCGCGUGAGUGAAGAAGGUUUUCGGAUCGUAAAGCUCUGUUGUAAGAGAAGAACGGGUGUGAGAGUGGAAAGUUCACACUGUGACGGUAUCUUACCAGAAAGGGACGGCUAACUACGUGCCAGCAGCCGCGGUAAUACGUAGGUCCCGAGCGUUGUCCGGAUUUAUUGGGCGUAAAGCGAGCGCAGGCGGUUAGAUAAGUCUGAAGUUAAAGGCUGUGGCUUAACCAUAGUAUGCUUUGGAAACUGUUUAACUUGAGUGCAGAAGGGGAGAGUGGAAUUCCAUGUGUAGCGGUGAAAUGCGUAGAUAUAUGGAGGAACACCGGUGGCGAAAGCGGCUCUCUGGUCUGUAACUGACGCUGAGGCUCGAAAGCGUGGGGAGCAAACAGGAUUAGAUACCCUGGUAGUCCACGCCGUAAACGAUGAGUGCUAGGUGUUAGGCCCUUUCCGGGGCUUAGUGCCGCAGCUAACGCAUUAAGCACUCCGCCUGGGGAGUACGACCGCAAGGUUGAAACUCAAAGGAAUUGGCGGGGGCCCGCACAAGCGGUGGAGCAUGUGGUUUAAUUCGAAGCAACGCGAAGAACCUUACCAGGUCUUGACAUCCCUCUGACCGCUCUAGAGAUAGAGUUUUCCUUCGGGACAGAGGUGACAGGUGGUGCAUGGUUGUCGUCAGCUCGUGUCGUGAGAUGUUGGGUUAAGUCCCGCAACGAGCGCAAUCCCUAUUGUUAGUUGCCAUCAUUGAGUUGGGCACUCUAGCGAGACUGCCGGUAAUAAACCGGAGGAAGGUGGGGAUGACGUCAAAUCAUCAUGCCCCUUAUGACCUGGGCUACACACGUGCUACAAUGGCUGGUACAACGAGUCGCAAGCCGGUGACGGCAAGCUAAUCUCUGAAAGCCAGUCUCAGUUCGGAUUGUAGGCUGCAACUCGCCUACAUGAAGUCGGAAUCGCUAGUAAUCGCGGAUCAGCACGCCGCGGUGAAUACGUUCCCGGGCCU